CCGCCGUCGUCGCCGUCGUCGCCGCCGUCGUUGCAAUCGUCGUCGCCACCGCCGUCAAAGCAGGCGACACACACUGUUAUGUUAAACCGCCCGAUUCGCCGUAUAUCCCAUUUUCCCCACACACAGAGCAGCCGCCGAUCACUAGUGCCAAUAACGUCAACACCAAACACUACCAGCGACAGCAAUAACACAGGAGUAGCAGCAACGUAACGUGACAAACUUCGUGCGCGCGCGCGCGCGUGCUUAAUCGGACCGGCACCGUCAGCAGGUAGUCAGUCGCCGGGCGUCUCGAUGCCGACGCUUCCCGCUUCCUCGUCACUCUCGUCCUCCUCUACCUCGUUGAGAUGCGCCCUCGCGCUCACUUCGUCUCUCCGUCUCUCGCUUCGCGCGUCACCUCUCCUCUACCUGCCACUACCGCGCGGACGGGGCCGACGAGGGGACACGAGAGAGAGGAAAAGGGGAGGGGAAGGGGGGGAGUGGAGCGGAGGGAUCACAACCACACGCUCGGUGAGAGAGAGAAAGAGAGAGAGAGACGGAGGUACUCUCUCCUCCGCCCUCCCUCGAGAACGACAAGCGAAAAGAAGCGGCGCCGCCACUUCUGCCUUUCUCUCUCUCUCUCUCCCUCUCUUUCUUUCUUUCCCUCUUUCUUUUUUCCUCCCGCGCUCUUUAUAUCGGAUGUUGGAUAUUUCCGUCCUUCUCUGUAUGUAACGUUCUUCCUUUUUCCUCUUCGCACCUUUCUUUUUUUUUUUUUUUUUCCUUUAACAAGAAUCACGGACACAAACACAUCACGCGCUAAAAUUCUCUAUGCGCGUCUGUUCUCUCUGUUUCCCUUUCGUCCUUUCCGUUUUUCUAUCCUUCUUUUACAGAGCACCACACACGCACACUCGAUAUCUCACUUCGUCGAUGCCGAGAGCGCGCGCACAAACGUAUGUACGUACGCACGCACGCACGCACGACGUCGACGACGUUAUAGUCAAGGAUUAUUAUGUGCACGUAAUUCGCGAUCCGAGACAGGUAUCGCGCGCGACACGAGCGAAACAGUUUCACUACGAAGUUGCGCGGGUUGAGAUGUUCGCGUCCUAGACGAAUGUUAAGUGUGACGCCGCGAACGCCGAGUCACCGGGUGCACACGAGUGGCGCAGAAACGACCACCACAACGACGAAACGCAGCACUGGACAUCGCCUUCGGGAUUGGAAACACUCCAGGGAUUCUCAACCUAGACGACAGACGCAUUACUGCGCAGGGCCGUACCCCGGCCGUACUGCGGAAAGUAAUACCUAGAGUAGGGUUACCAGCUGUACCCUUAAGAGAGAGAGGAAGAGUACAUAUAUUCUUUUUCAGCUUUAAGAAAGAAAUAUUACUAUGAUCGCUAAACCCUACAAGGAAAAACUAAUUGUGGGGUAUCCAAAGGGCCCAAUUCGCGUACGGUCCUGCCGACAAAAAGAGGGAGGAUGCGAGGCUUGAUCGCUGUCGAGAGCGCACGCUUCUUUCAAAUUUAACUCUUAAGACCUCCGUCGCUCGUGCGUAGUUUAUGCUACGUGCCUGUGUGCACCACCAGCCUUCAACAAUAUGCUCCGAGACCGAGUAAGCUAGCCGCAAACAGAAGCUCCAUAAUCCUCCGGGCGGAUUAUGUCUGAUAUUCAGCUACGAUAUACCGAUCGUUAUCGCGGCCAUCCUCUUUGUUUCAGUUCUGAGAAAAGUGUAGAACAAUACCCGGAAUUAUUGUACAAAAUAUAAAUUCAGUGAAAAUAUAGAUGUCAA